rnacentral:tRNA from 1 species
GAGGGUAUAGCUCAGUGGUAGAGUGUGUGCUUAGCAUGCACAAGGUCCUAGGUUCAAUCUCCAGUACCUCCA